rnacentral:rRNA from 1 species
UACAGAGGUCUCAAGCGUUGUUCGGAUUCACUGGGCGUAAAGGGUGCGUAGGUGGUGAGGUAAGUCGGAUGUGAAAUCUCCGGGCUCAACCCGGAAAUGGCAUUGGAAACUACCUUGCUCGAGGGUUGGAGGGGGGACUGGAAUGCUUGGUGUAGCAGUGAAAUGCGUAGAUAUCAAGCGGAACACCAGUGGCGAAGGCGAGUCCCUGGACAACUCCUGACACUGAGGCACGAAAGCUAGGGGAGCAAACAGG